GGGGGGAGCACAGGAUCCUGGUCUGUGUUCCCUAGCGCCCUGGGCUCCCCGGCCUGCGCCACUGGAAUCCGGCUCCAGGGCCACGCAGCCCCCU
rnacentral:pre_miRNA from 1 species